rnacentral:rRNA from 1 species
UGCGUAGGCGGGGCAAUUAGUCAGUGGUGAAAUCCUGCGGCUUGACCGUAGAACUGCCAUUGAUACUGUUGCUCUUGAGUAUAGUUGAGGUGGGCGGAAUGUGUAAUGUAGCGGUGAAAUGCAUAGAUAUUACACAGAACACCAAUUGCGAAGGCAGCUCACUAAGCUAUAACUGACGCUGAGGCACGAAAGCGUGGGGAGCGAACAGGAUUAGAUACCCUGGUAGUCC